AGUGAACCAGUACCGUGAGGGAAAGGCGAAAAGAACCCCUGUGAGGGGAGUGAAAUAGAACCUGAAACCGUGUGCAUACAAGCAGUCGGAGCGGACAUGUUCCGUGACGGCGUACCUUUUGUAUAAUGGGUCAGCGACUUAUAUUCUGUAGCAAGGUUAACCGAAUAGGGGAGCCGUAGGGAAACCGAGUCUUAAUAGGGCGUCUAGUUGCAGGGUAUAGACCCGAAACCGAGUGAUCUAUCCAUGAGCAGGUUGAAAGUGACGUAACAGUUACCGGAGGACCGAACCCACUGUCGUUGAAAAGCCAGGGGAUGACUUGUGGAUAGGGGUGAAAGGCUAAUCAAACUCGGUGAUAGCUGGUUCUCCCCGAAAGCUAUUUAGGUAGCGCCUCGGACGAACACCAUUGGGGGUAGAGCACUGUUUCGGCUAGGGGGUCAUCUCGACUUACCAAACCGAUGCAAACUCCGAAUACCGAUGAGUGAUAUCCGGGAGACAGACGGCGGGUGCUAACGUCCGUCGUCAAGAGGGAAACAACCCAGACCGCCAGCUAAGGCCCCAAAUUCCUAGUUAAGUGGGAAACGAUGUGGGAAGGCACAGACAGCUAGGAGGUUGGCUUAGAAGCAGCCAUCCUUUAAAGAAAGCGUAAUAGCUCACUAGUCGAGUCGGCCUGCGCGGAAGAUGUAACGGGGCUCAAACUAGGAGCCGAAGCUGCGGAUUUAAUUGUUUCAAUUAAGUGGUAGGGGAGCAUUGUGUAAGCCUGUGAAGGUGUGUUGUAAAGCAUGCUGGAGGUAUCACAAGAGCGAAUGCUGACGUGAGUAACGACAAUGCGAGUGAAAAGCUCGCACGCCGGAAGACCAAGGGUUCCAGUCCAACGUUAAUCGGGGCUGGGUGAGUCGACCCCUAAGGCGAGGCCGAAAGGCGUAGUCGAUGGGAAAUCGGUUAAUAUUCCGAUACUUGUUUAUGAUGCGAUGGAGGGACGGAGAAGGUUAUGCCAGCUUGGCGAUGGUUGUCCAAGUGGAAGGAUGUAGUUAGGUUUAGUAGGCAAAUCCGCUAGACUAUUAAUGAGAUCUGAUAGCAAGCUGUACUUGUACAGCGAAGUGGCAAAUACCCUGCUUCCAGGAAAAGCUUCUAAGCAAUAGUCAUAAAGAAAUCGUACCCUAAACCGACACAGGUGGUCAGGUAGAGAAUACCAAGGCGCUUGAGAGAACUCUGCUGAAGGAACUAGGCAAAAUGGUACCGUAACUUCGGGAGAAGGUACGCUGCCGAUGGUGAGUAGUCACGCACUACAAAGCUAUUGGCAGUCGCAGAUACCAGGCCGCUGCAACUGUUUAUUAAAAACACAGCACUCUGCAAACACGAAAGUGGACGUAUAGGGUGUGAUGCCUGCCCGGUGCUGGAAGGUUAAUUGAUGGGGUUAGCGUAAGCGAAGCUCUUGAUCGAAGCCCCAGUAAACGGCGGCCGUAACUAUAACGGUCCUAAGGUAGCG
rnacentral:rRNA from 1 species